CGGAGUUGCAGUGACAAGCCUCUUUCAAAUGGCCUGUUAAUUCUUUUGUUUUUUUCUCAUGUGUUCCUGUGGUAGUUCCUGGAGCAAAAGUUCAAGAUGUGAGUCUCCACAUGCUGUUCUGUAUGUCUGAGCAGGAGCUGCAAGUUAGUACUGCCUCCUAUCCACCAUCUUCCUCCUGAAUUACAUUUAUUGAUUUGCAUAUGUUGAACCUAUCUUGCAUCCUGGGGAUGAAGCCUACCUCAUCAUGACACCAAGGGCCCUUCAAAACACAGAAGCUUCUUGCUCACGGCAGAAAGCCCAAUUCCAUCUGGCCCCUGCAGGUUGGCUCAGCACUGGGGAAUCAGAGUCCCCUCCAUGACCAAGGCACCACUCCACUGACAGACUCUGUUAAUCAGCUUGCUUGGCUGGCCUCCAACCAUAGGUCCAGGGGCUGAGACAAGGUCCUUUUGAGCUCCUAUGUGGGAGGCUCUGGAAAGCUUAGCAACACUUUCCAACAACUUUGCCAGGUAAGUAGGUAAGUCUCCUUGUUCUCAUUUCCAGAGAAGACAACUGAAACCCAAAGAAAGACUUGCCCAAGCCAUGAUUGGCUAGUUGAUGGCCAAGACAGCAUUAGAACACAAGUUUGUCGAUUCUGUCAUGCCAUAUUUGGUGACCAUGACUGCUGCUUUUGCUGCUGGGUGGAUUAGGCUGAAUUGGGUAGGUAGAAAAGGAAGUGAGGGAGUGAAAGAGCUUUAGUUUUGAGAUGACUGCCAGAACUUAAAUUGAAGGAGUAUGUUACCUUCUUAACAUUCAAUUAAAAGAAUAGAGCAAGAAAAGACACUGAUUGUUUUCUUGCUGAAAGACAAGGCUGAAUCCCUCUGUCUUACCUGGGCUGGGACAGGGCUUUCCGGCCUCAUGGGGGCAGUUUACCAUUUCUGGUAACCUUGUGAUGUUUGCCACUUUUCAUGACAAUAUUUAAUGUAGACCAGCUACCUGCUCACAGAUCAACUGCCACAGCUGGUAAGGGCAGUAAUUUGACACCAGCAACCUGGGAUUUUUAGCAACAGGAUCUGAUUGUUGCCAAGGGAAUUCUCCCAGAAGUUUCAGACCUGACCCUGCUCCUGGCAGCUUCCUUAUUGCCCUGGUGGCUUGUGGGUUCAGUGAUCCCAAAUGUUGCAUUACAAAGCUAUUGCCUGUUUUUGCCCUCUUUGUUGAUGUGUCUUCCCUUUCCCAGAGGGAUAUACAGAGAAGGGAGGCAAAAUAACCAAUGAGGAAAGCUGUAUAAGGCAUACUGCUGAACUGUAAAAAAUUUAUUGUAUAAACUUUACAAGUCUCCUCCCCAACAGGAGCCUUUGUUAUCUCAUUUAUAACCUAAGUGAGUGAGACUAGAUGAUCUUUAAGGGCACUUUAAUAGCUGCCAUUCUUGAGUCCCUAUGGGACAAGAGGAUCAUGUUAGGCAAGGCUGAGACCACAAGAAAUCAAUGUCACACCUGUCCAGAUCCUGCUAAAUCAAUUGCCAAUAGCUCUUUCUUUCAUUUUGGUCACACAACCACUACUUUUUGAGCAUUUGUUAUGUAUUGAAUACUGAACCAAAGGCUUUACAUGCAUUAUCUCCUGUCAUUCUCACAAUAACCUUAUGAGGUAGGUAUUAUACUUACAUACAUUUUGUGGGUGUAGAAAACUUGAGCUCAGAGAGGUGAAAUGAUGUAUCCAAGGUUGCCUAACUAGCUAAUGGAAGAACUAGGAUUUAAGCUCAUGUUUAACCUCAAAGCCUAUGUGCAUAACCACAACACUGAAAACACAGCUUGGGAGAAUUGAGAAGAGGGAGCAAGGAUGCUGACUCUAGGGUCUGGUACUUUCCUCAAGUCAGGGAGGCAGGAUGAUGACCAAAUUUUCCCCUCUCUGCUGCAUAGAGGAACCCACUGAAGCUUGGGACCCCUAGAAAUGCCAUAGCUACAGGACUCAGGCCUGAUGAGCUUCCAGCUGAGCACUGGGUGUCACUCGGGCUUUACCUGCUUAUCUUCAGGAUCUCUCUUCUGGGUCACAUCUCCCAGGAAGAUCUCACUUCCCCACAGAAGCUCUUGGCCUGGCCUCCUGCAGUGCCACGCUCCGUGUAUUUGACAAGCUGAGUUGGACACUCCAUGUGGUAGAGUGUCAGUUUGUCAAAUACCCCAAGUGCGGCACAUGCUUACCAGCUCUAGGCCAGGGCAGAUGGGAUAUGACGAAUGGACUGCCAGCUGGAUACAAGGAUGCUCACCAAGCACCAAGUUCUCACAAGUUAUUUUAUGUGACUUUGCAGGAACUGAGGCAUUAUAUCUGAGGACACCAGGGGAAAAGUGUGGCAUCUCAGGGAAAUACAGCCCUGGGCUGUGUCUACACACACCAUGAGAGUGCUGAUGGGGGCGCAAUAGUCUUGAAAAUGUAUAAAGUGUCCAGGAAUGGAAGUGCUCUUUGAUUCAUUAUUAUUUUCUUCCUUCAUAUUCCCCUCCCAGAGUCUCCUAUCUAGGACAUCAGCAUUCUCACACAAGCCUAAUGGCUUAUCUGAGUAAGCAGGGCUUAGAAAUUCACUUUCUUGAUACUCAGUCUUGCCUUCUAAACACUCCUUGAUCUUGCCUACCUCUCCCCUUUUCCACAUGUCUUUUCCUGUAGGAACACUUUCUCCAUUUAUUCCUGCCUAUCCAAUUCUUCCCUAUAUUUCCUGGACCAGCUAAAGUCCAGUGUUUCCAGAGACUUUUGAAAGUCAACUUACACUUUUUCCUUCUUCAUUCACAAAGCUCUUCUUCCCUGGGCCCUGGUAUGUAUGCCUUUCUCUCCUACUGUCUAAUAGCACCUCGUAAAUUGUCAAUGAACUUUUCUAAGGGGUAUUCUUGAAUUCCCAACUAGAUUGUGAGCUUCUGGAAGACAAGGCUAUGUCUUUGAUUGUUGUCUCCCCUACCACAGCCCAGUACUUUAGUUACAGAAAAUAAUAAAUAUUUACUGAUUGAUUGACUUUCCUCUUGUCCACUAGCUUUAGGUUUGGGGGCCAAAUUCUACCCUGGAUUUUGAAAAAUUCAAACUGUGAACACCACAAUGUUAUAGAGCAUAUGAGGUAGUAGCCAGCAUGAAGGAUGUUUUCUUCCUGAGAAACAGUGUCAAGGGCUGGAGGAAGAGGGCAAAAUAGCAGACUCAGAGGGCAAAUAAAUUUUGGUAUUACUUGGUCACACAAGGUUAUACAGGUGUUUUCUUGUAGGAUUUUUCAGAGCCUUUAAUAGUCUAAUGUUGCAUUGAGAAUCUCAAAGAGGAAACCAUAGAAUGAGGCAUUUGCCAUACCUAUCUGAUCAUGAAUUUUCUUUUCCCCCACAGCCUUCUCCUGUGUCAAUGUCCAAUGAAGCACGAUUUGGGAAACUGUCCUAGAGAAACUUUAUACCUUCCCGCUCUUCUGGAGAUCUUUUCCUCUUUUCAUUCAUCUACUUUCCCCAACCAGCCAUCUGCCUAAGAAAGGUCACAUGUUAUCAUCUCAUUUUUGUUUAGCCUCUGCAGCUGUGGACUAUCUUUAUUACAUAGGAAUUCUUUACUAGCUUGUCCUGUAUUUAAAAAUAUUCUAAGUUUUGAGGCAAAGAAGAUCCAGAUGCUGCAAUAAAUAUAUGCACUGAGGAGUUCACAGGCCUGACUUUUGGUCUCCUUUCUACCACUAACUGUGUUUUUGUUCCUCUCUGAGCUUCAUUUUCUCAUCUCCAAUACGGAAGUAUUAGAAUCAGUGAUCUCUAGGCUCUUUAAGAUUAAUGACUUUGAGAUAUCCCUGGGAGUCCUUAGCUCUUAUGGAGCAGCGUCCCUGGAUGUGUGGCUCCUUUUACCAGUGAAAAUGCAACCAGGAUUCUCUUCCCAACACCUAAAACUCACUUUUUCUAUGGGUAGUAGGGAAAGAUAAUGGGUAUUUUCAAAGGCUGUAGGGUCUGGACGCAGAGUUGUUUCAUGAAGGAAGUUGGGGUUUCCACUGGGUGGAGGCCCUAUUUCAGAGGCUUGUAAGCACGAUGGGGAAGAAAGAGUUGUUCCUUUCGCCAACUAGGAGAAGCUAGCGUCUGGAAUGAGGAAAAUGUUGAGGUUUUUACCCUGGAUUUGGCAUGUUGGGUGGCGGUGAAGUGGAGGACUCCUUUUUGUUACUUUCGUGUACUAUUUUGACUUCUGUAAUCAUUGCAAAAGGGGAGCAGCUCCUUGUGAAACAUGAGCUGACCUAGGGGCUGCAUGGGAACCAGAAAUAGCAACAUGGCAGCUUCCUUGAAGAGUGCAGAAGUUGAUUUGACAUUAAUUACAUCGAGAAAAUAAAACUGUGUCAACCUGGGUCAGAACAGGUCCUCACAGCGGAGCCUGAUUUAAAGGUGUAGGAACUUAUGUACACAUACAAACUCUCUCUCUCUCUCUCUGUCGUGCGCACACACACACACACACACACACACACACUCCUAGCCCUAUUCCUCCUUGAAGAGAAAGGCUUUCUUGCUCUUAUCCCCACCUCACAUUGUAAGAAGGGGCCAGGAGCUAAAGAAGAUAACAUAUGAAAAAUGCAACUACCCCCAGGAUUUUAAGAUUCAAAGAAGUGGAAAUCCUUGGGAGUGGUGCAUCCAUACUUGGGAAAGAAGGAAAUCCCUUCAUCUCUGCAUUCAUAGUCCCCUGAGACAGAAAGACUUUUUCUUUCUUAGGCUUCCAGUUGAUGUGGGAAGAAUCAUCCAGGUGGACCUGGCAGGAUGACAGGUUGGGUAAUGGAAGCCAGGGGAGUACUGUUUAAUCAAGUAUUCACUGUUCUCCAGCUGGGCUUACCAGUGGAGUGAAGUAGGAGUGGCAUGUGUGGGAAGGGGAAAGACCAAAAAAGCAAAAGUGACAUCCAUAUUCUCGGGCCCCAGCCAUCUUAACUAGUCUCACUUUAAUUACUUUUAGUAGGUCCUACCAUACUGUGAGAGAAGACCAACACAACUGAAGUUGCUGUUAUGAUUAGAUAUUUAUUGAGCACCAG
rnacentral:lncRNA from 10 species